GUGCUCGCUUCGGCAGCACAUAUACUAAAAUUGGAACGAUACAGAGAUUAGUUUGGCUCCUGUGAAAGGAUGACACUCAAAUUCGUGAAGCAUUCCAUAUUUUU